UUGCAAUAUCCGCAAGCUUAAACUCUCCACCACCUUGGUGCCUACAGAAGACAGAAAGCAACUGGCAGGGAGUUUUAAAAACCUAUAGAUUUACGCAAACGCCUUAGCUCAGAGUCACGUUUCCCUCCGAGUUCUUACGUGAUCUUAAUGAAUGAGAGGGGUUACCAACCAAUACAGUAUAAAACGUGAUCGCAGCCGCCUCCCAGGAAACCGGAGCGGGACACAAAGUUCCCGAGGAAAGUGCUGGCCGGGCGGGCGCACUGUGCGGUGAGCCCCGACUCCCACCGCCCUCCUUCCACCGCCCUGCUCGCACCUGGGGCCGGGCAAGGCGAGCCGGCUCUGGAGAUUUACGUUCGGGACAGAUCCAAACUCUCAAGAAACAUCUUUCUGUCAAAACUGAAACAGAUUGUGGUGUUCAGCAGUACAUUUCUCUGCUAGGGAAACAUUCUUGAACAGAAAAAGGAGAAGGUAUUGUAUUCUUCAUACAUCUGGACUUGAAUUCUGCAAUAUAUGUAAGAGUGAAUCUGGAUGCUGUCAUAUGAGCCAACAUACUAGGCAACCUUAAUUUCUAACCCAUUCAGCAAAAUAAGUAAGCUUCUCAUAUUGAAAUAAUUAUCAUAUUUUGGAAAGAUAAAAUCUAACAGAAUUCCAGGUAUGACUUGAAAAGUGGAUGUUCCCUCUGUACAUGGAAGGAUUUGAACUAAUAUCACAAUACUGGUGAAUUACUCCAGACUUUUGAUGAUCUCAACUGAGAGUGCAACAGAGUUUAUUGUACCUUAAAUCACCUGCCUACAUCUCAAAACUAAACUUAAAAUAAAAAUUUUAAUGAAACAAAUUAAAUAAUUAAA
rnacentral:lncRNA from 1 species